CAAGUCGAACGGCAGCACAGCAGUAGCAAUACUGUGGGUGGCGAGUGGCGGACGGGUGAGUAAUGCAUCGGGAUCUACCCAAGCGUGGGGGAUAACGUAGGGAAACUUACGCUAAUACCGCAUACGUCCUACGGGAGAAAGCGGGGGACCGAAAGGCCUCGCGCGGUUGGACGAACCGAUGUGCGAUUAGCUAGUUGGUAGGGUAAUGGCCUACCAAGGCGACGAUCGCUAGCUGGUCUGAGAGGAUGAUCAGCCACACUGGAACUGAGACACGGUCCAGACUCCUACGGGAGGCAGCAGUGGGGAAUAUUGGACAAUGGGCGCAAGCCUGAUCCAGCAAUGCCGCGUGUGUGAAGAAGGCCUUCGGGUUGUAAAGCACUUUUAUCAGGAGCGAAAUACUACUGGCUAAUAACCGGUGGGGCUGACGGUACCUGAGGAAUAAGCACCGGCUAACUUCGUGCCAGCAGCCGCGGU
rnacentral:rRNA from 1 species